GGUUCUUUAGCUCAGCUGGAAGAGCGUUAGACUGAAGAUCUAAAUGUCCCGUGUUCGAGCCACGGAAGAACCA